AAUAGUUACAGCUCUUUUAGAAUUUGUCUAGGUCCUUGCAGAAGACCCCC
rnacentral:snRNA from 1 species